CCAAAAACAAAACUAGUUAGUGGGUCGGUGGGUGACAAUGUCACCUUAGCAGUUGCGAUACGCCGACAGAGCGGGGUGGCUGCGAUGGAAAUUGGGCAGCACCUGCUUUAGGUAGAUUACGGUGCUGGCGAGAGCUUCGCUCACCCUCACGUUGCCUGUGUGUGCAGUUCAGACCCUGAGUGUAAAGGCUGCUGCUGUCGGCGGCUGUGUGUGAGAGUCUGUGUCACAGUGUGUGUGUGGGGGUGUGUGUGGGGGGGUCAGUGUGCACAGGGAUGCGUCUCACAGCCGUGCGGCUUGUCGCCUGAGUAAUCAGAGCGGCGGUUGAAAUUAGAGUCGCUCUCUCAGCCACAGAGAGGGAGAGGAGAGAGAGAGAGAGAGAGCAGAUCUCCUAAAAAAACAAUGCAAUCCAAUCGUCCCAGGAGCAUGCUGCAAAGAGUGGAAAGAAAAUAUAUAAUAUAGGAAGAAAAUUGCAUCACACAAUCCCGACACAAACAGAGACAGAGUGAGAGAGAGAGAGAGAGAGAGAGAGACGGCCACACACCCGGCUGGAAGCUACUUUUCCGAGAGGGCAUCUGUGGGUUCCUCAACAUUCUCCCAUCGAGUCGCGAACACCUCAUGAUCCUGUGGCAGUGAAAGGGAGAGACAGAGGGAGCCGGCCGCAGAGUUUAUUCCACAUUCCAUGGAGAUUGAGAAUUCCCUCUAACUUCUAUACGAGGCUGCCUCUACCAUCUCGGUAUAUUAAUGGUAGGUAUAGCACUGCUGGAAGGACAAUAUUGAAACCCCACUAUAUCUGAACUGACUCUGGCAACCUGAAACGUUAAUGCAAAGAUCUACUCUGUGCUGGUUUUACUCCAGUCUACUUUGUUUUAAAAAUGAUGAAUGCAAUCUUAUUUUUCAUUUGCUUUCUACCAGUUUGUGCUUAUUGAUAUAACCUGGAUGUUACAAAAUUACCUUUAAUUUCCAUUCAUGUUAUUAUUUGAUUGCCUGGAGCAUCAUCCUUGGGCUGUCCACGUUGACAAAUGUUCACUCUAUAUAAGGACAGAAUGACGCUGUGCCCAUGUGUUGCUGCACACAUCCAGAGUCUGCACCUUCUCCGUUCAGACAUUGAGAUCUGGAAGCUCCGCCAUUAUUUGUAUUAAAACAUGGUCAUGGAUAAAAAGA